ACGUAGGAGGCAAGCGUUAUCCGGAUUUACUGGGCGUAAAGCGCGUGUAGGCGGUUCGGUAAGUUGGAUGUGAAAUCUCCUGGCUCAACUAGGAGAGGUCGUUCAAUACUGCCAGACUAGAGGACGGUAGAGGAAGGUAGAAUUCCCGGUGUAGUGGUGAAAUGCGUAGAUAUCGGGAGGAAUACCAGUGGCGAAGGCGGCCUUCUGGGCCGUUCCUGACGCUCAGACGCGAAAGCGUGGGUAGCGAACGGGA
rnacentral:rRNA from 1 species